CCCAGCCACCUCAGUCUCUGCCGCCACUGCAGCCAAGCAGCCCCCGCAGCUCCCUGCAACCCCCACAGCCACGUAGUCCCGCAGCGGUGCAGCCACCACAACCACGCAGCCUCCACCGCCACCGUAGGAAGAUCCGUCGCCGUCGUAGGAAGCUGUGUCGCCGUGAUUGGAAGCUCCCUCGCCACAGGGAUCCUUGGGAAGAAAUGUCCGUCAGCAAUCGGGAUUACCGCGCUGAAGGCGAUUACCACAAUACGACGUGUGUCGUUUUUUGCUGGACAACUGUUGGGACCGUGAGAUGGCAGCUCUAACUGUGCCAACAGUCGUCCAGCAAAAAACGAGGCACGACGUAUUGAUCAGCACGGUAAUUGCGAUUGUUGACGGACAUUUCUACCUAGGGAUCGCUGUGGCCAUCAGUCUAUCACGAUCUGCUUCAUCAUCAGGAUCACCUUUGCGAUUUGGAUCUUCGGAAUCGCUGGAUAGAUCGCCAGAAUUGCACAUUGCAGUGAUGAUGAAGCUUAUGAUUGAAGAGGCGAAGAAAAACAAGAUAGAACGGAGAGAAUUGAACGGAGACAUUUUCUGACCAGAGAAGAAAUGACUCACUUUGUUAUUUAUUCCAAUCUGAGAAGAGAUUUGGGAUAUUAUUAUAUUCCAUCCUUUGAAGAAGACUGAUCCCUUGAAUCUCUAUGAGUCCCUUCGCAGUUACUUUGUCCUCAAAUACUCUGACAGCGUGGCAAAGAGAGUAGGCCUUCUCGAAAUGCUACACAAAUUGCUCAAUGACCUUUCGCUACCCCUUCGCCGUGACUGCCUCAUCCGUUAUUUCAAAUGCCUUUGCAUGAUUAUUGAGCCUGUCUUCCCUGUGAAUGCCUCACCCAACCCACCUAUCUUUGUUUGGUACAAUGCCAUCAUCCCUCAACAGUACUCUUCUCAGCAUAACAUCCAUUUGGAGAAGGCCUCUGUUCUCUUCAACCUGGGAGCCCUCUGCACUCACAUUGCUCUCUCCUGCGAUCAAUAUGAUAAACAAUCAGUUUCGCGACUUGAAAUCAAAGUUUCCUCGUCCCCAAUCUGAUGAAUCAUCUACCUUUUCAGUUGAUCUUUUCUUAUUACAAAUGAUUGAUGUCCAUCUUGAUUUGUUAAAUUGUUUGAUUGAGAUGAUGCAGGCUUUCUCAGCUUAUAAUUCGUUGACAUAUGAGCUUUUAGCUUAUGAUCUAAGUGAUGUCACUGAACAAUUUCUUUUAGGGUAUUGUAAGGCUUACUCCAUGCUUCAAGGGUUAUGUGAAGCACCACCAUGCUUGGACCUUCUCUCUGAGCACAAAUGGGGAUUUCUUCCUCAAUCUGAAGGAAAUGCUAUCAAAACGAGAGUAACUUGAUUUGAAAUGCAUCAAGCUCUGAAGUUGCAUCAAGGCGCGAUAUCAGAGCUAAGUCAAUACAAUCCACUUGAUCUAUUCUCCGGAUCUAAAGAGAGGAUUCAUAAGGCUACCAAGGAUCUCUUUAUUACUCCUCAGAACAAUUUUCAUACUCGGAGGACUGGGAGGUGGCACAAGGAAAACAGAUUCGCAUUUGGCUCAAGCAUUUGAGGAAAGGCUGAAGUCUGUCAUUGAAGCCGAUCAAGGUCAUUGUACGGAGAACUUGUUUACGCCCGUUGCUGAGACCAUACACAAAUCAAGAGUCCUUGAUCUGCUCCUUGAGGUUCAGAAGCUCGACAAUUUCGACAUAGAAGGAGCCAUCCAUGCAUAUUAUAACAUUACUUCUCGACAUAGAAUGAAUAAAAUGCAUAUUAUAACAUAUUAUAAGUGAUUUGAUCCUUGUUUAGGUGUAUUUUAUCGACCUUGAUUUGAAGUGAUUGAAUAAAAUGAAAGAAUAUUAUGAGUUAGAUAAGAAAAUAGUGAGCUGUUAUAAACAAAGGAUGAACAUGGA